rnacentral:rRNA from 1 species
CUACGCACUCCUACGGGAGGCAGCAGUGGGGAAUAUUGCACAAUGGGCGCAAGCCUGAUGCAGCCAUGCCGCGUGUAUGAAGAAGGCCUUCGGGUGUAAAGUACUUUCAGCAGUGAGGAAGGUGGGUAUGUUAAUAGCAUACUCAUUUGACGUUAGCUGCAGAAGAAGCACCGGCUAACUCCGUGCCAGCAGCCGCGGUAAUACGGAGGGUGCGAGCGUUAAUCGGAAUUACUGGGCGUAAAGCGCAUGCAGGUGGUUUGUUAAGUCAGAUGUGAAAGCCCGGGGCUCAACCUCGGAAUUGCAUUUGAAACUGGCAAACUAGAGUACUGUAGAGGGGGUAGAAUUUCAGGUGUAGCGGUGAAAUGCGUAGAGAUCUGAAGGAAUACCGGUGGCGAAGGCGGCCCCCUGGACAGAUACUGACACUCAGAUGCGAAAGCGUGGGGAGCAAACAGGAUUAGAUACCCUGGUAG